rnacentral:tRNA from 1 species
CGAAGAGUAGUUUAAAAGAAAGAACGUUAGCUUUGGGAGUUGAUAGUGGGAGUUAAGUCUCUCCUCUUCGA